GGAAAGAUCUUUUCAAGAUAUUCCUGAAAUUAAUCAAGCCAGUCAACAUUUGGAGAAAGUGCCAGAUUUUGACUGUUCUCCUCAGAAAACAAUAUUACUUCAGAAGUGUCUGGAACCAAACUCCCAACGUCUCUGAGAUGAGCUAGAUCCUUCAUUACCUCUGAAGAUGCUAAGAAUUUGAGCUACAAAACCAGGAAAGCUAGUAUACAGGAGUAGGAUACUGAUCACUGGCUAUUGGCUUGAAGUUCUUUGAGUGCUUUCUUCAUAGGCAGUAGCAUAAUCCAAAC